rnacentral:ncRNA from 1 species
GAAAAACCGUUGACCGAGAAUAGUAGGUGUCUAUGUCGUUUUCAGAGAGUUGCCGGCAGGUGCGAGGCAAUAGCCAGUGGACAGUGAAUGGACUCGGGAGGGCAGCUUGAAAUCAAGUCUGAGAGUAGACGCUGACGGAAACCUGGACCGUUAUCUACAGGAAUGCAUGAUGGUGCAUGAUUGAGUGGAUUACUUUGUAAUCAAUGUGGGUGGUACCGCAGGAGAAUUUACAGCUCUUGUCCCUAUA